UUCGCUUGAAAGAUGAGCACUGUACAUGGAUAGUACUCUGCAAUUUUUGCUGGUUCAUCAGGGAUCGCCCAAUUUCUAGACGAGAGUUGCGGUUUUUCGAAUCCUUAUGACGGGUCAUCCUCCUCUCCUUGGUUGGCCGAAAUUCGAACGCCUUUCAAAAUAAUUUGCUCUGGCACUUUGAUUACCAACCAGUAUGUUCUGACUGCUGCAAGCUGUAUAAAAAAGAAAAAAGAAUUCAUUGUUCGCUUGGGAAAUAGCAAUGAUGGGGACAGGUUUCAAAAUUUCCCUGUAUCAAAGGCCU